rnacentral:misc_RNA from 1 species
GAUGAAGAACGCAGCGAAAUGCGAUAAGUAAUGCGAAUCGCAGAAUUUCCGUGAGUCAUCGAAUCUUUGAACGCACAUUGCGCCCACUGGUAUUCCGGUGGGCAUGCCUGUUCGAGCGUCAUUAUCCUCCCUCAAACCCCGGGUUUGGUGUUGGACCCAAGUUGUGUGAACAACUGGUCUCAAAGACAAUGACGGCGUCCGUGGGACCCUCGGUGCAACGAGCUUUUAGGAGCACGCAUCGAGUUGCAAGGACCUUCCGGGCCGGUCUCCUUUACCAUUUUACAAGGUUGACCUCGGAUCAGGUAGGAAUACCCGCUGAACUUAAGCAUAUCAAUAAGCGGAGGA